UUAUUUGAGAGUUUGAUCCUGGCUCAGGAUGAACGCUAGCGGUGUGGAUAAGGCAUGCAAGUCAAGGGACCUCGCAUUUGCGGGGGACCGGCGAAUGGGUUAGUAACACGUAGAUACAUACCACCUACACAGGCAUAACUCCGCGAAAGCGGGGCUAAUUCCUGAUAGUCCUCUGAGAUUUAUCGAAGGGGUAAAGGUUUCGAGCAAUCGAUUCCAGUAGGUGAGUGGUCUGCGGCUUAUCAGCUUGUUGGUGGGGUAAUGGCCUACCAAGGCAAUGACGGGUAGGGGACAUGAGAGUGUGUUCCCCAACAAUGGGACUGCGACACGGCCCAUACUCCUACGGGAGGCAGCAGUCGAGAAUAUUUCGCAAUGGGCGAAAGCCUGACGAAGCGACACCGCGUGUUUGAAUAAGCCCUUAGGGGUGUAAAGAACUUUUCUCCAUGAACAAGCUUCGGCUGAGUGUAGUGGAGGAAUAAGAGGAGGCUAAUCACGUGCCAGAAGCCUCGGUAAUACGUGAUCCUCAAGUGUUAUCCGGAUUUAUUGGGCGUAAAGCGUCUGUAGGCGGUUAAAUAAGUCUUUGGUUAAAGCCCCAUGGCUCAACUAUGGGAAUGCCAGAGAUACUGUUUGACUAGAGGGUGUUAGGGGCUGAUGGAACGGUCGGUGUAGGGGUGAAAUCCGUUGAUAUCGACCGGAACACCAAAAGCGAAGGCAUUCAGCUAAGACAAUCCUGACGCUGAGAGACGAAAGCGUGGGUAGCGAAGGAGAUUAGAUACCUCUGUAGUCCACGCCGUAAACGAUGAACACUGGCUAUUUGAAGUGUCGACCCUUCAAGUGGCGAAGCUAACGCGUUAAGUGUUCCGCCUGGGAAGUACGGCCGCAAGGCUAAAACUCAAAGGAAUAGACGGGGCUUUACACAAGCGGUGGACCAUGUGGCUCAAUUCGACAACAAACGAAGAACCUUACCAGGGCUUGACACCUAAUUGAAAGUUCGCUGAAAGGCGGACCUCCCACAAGGCAAUUAGGCAGGUGCUGCACGGCUGUCGUCAGUUCGUGUUUUGAAAUGUACGCUUAAGUGCGGAAACGAACGCAACCCUCGCUCUAUGUUUUAUAUGUCAUAGAGAACUGCCUGGGAUAACCAGGAGGAAGGUGAGGAUAACGCCAAGUCAGCGUGGCCCUUUGACGCCCUGGGCUGCACACGUGGUACAAUGGGACCGACAAUGGGCGAAACCGCAAGGUGGAGGUAAUCCCAACAAACGGUCUCUUAGUUCGGAUUGGGGUCUGAAAUUCGACCCCAUGAAGCCGGAAUCGCUAGUAAUCGCCGAUCAGCUAUGCGGCGAUGAAUAUGUUUCUAAAGCUUGUACUCACCGCCAAAUAACUGCGCCUGGCAGCUUAGUUAGCUAACAAGUUAAAAUCUUGUCCUCC
rnacentral:rRNA from 1 species